AAUUUCACCCUGAAAAUCCGGCGACCAAAAUCCGGCCAAAUUCCGGCGACCUCCCCGAACACCCUCUUUUGGCAUACCACCAUUUUUUCGGCCACUUGAAUUGUAAAAUGGUAAAAUCCUAUUCUUUCAUGGCUGAUUUUUUAUUUUUAUUUUUAUUUUUCAGAUUUUAUUUUGUGUAUUAUUAAUUAGUUUUUGAAGUUUGAAAUGUUAAAUUUUCUGUUUUUGCACUUGUUGAAGUAGUAAAAUAGUUUUGUAUUGAUAAAAGUGAGGUAGUGAAAAAUACUUAAGAGUAUAUGGUACUUGUUGGGUUGUUUAUUUGCUGUUGAAGACUCUUUGAGUACAACACUCAAAAGUCAAAUUGUUUGGUAAGAAAAUGUAGAUCUUUGGAUAGUGUUUGAAUAAAAGUUUGUCUUUGAAUAGUGGAGAGCAGAUUUGUUUGAAAUACUUGACAAGAUUUGAACCAAAAAGUCUGGCCUUUUGAAUUUAAGAGCAGAUUUUGUAGAAAAAUCUGUUAAAAAGAUUGAUUUUUAAUUUUUUGAAAUAGCUGGUUGUUUUGAUAUGGGGGACUCCAUCACACUUCCAAGGGGACAUUUUUUAUAAUUACUUUGUCACAAAAACAAAAAAAAUUCAGCAGUUGAACACAUGAAAAGUAAGCUGAAAUGGUGAGCUUUGGGAGUGAAUCUUAGAGUGCAAACUUUUAGAAAAGUAUAAGUCCUCUUUAGAGUUCGUUUCUGGGUUCCCUCUCUAAGUUUUCGGGUUAUUUUAACACGGAUUUGCUGCUGGUUUUAUGCUGCUUUAGUUGUUGAACUACUGUUUAUUCUUUUGCUACCAGGUAAUCCUUUAAGACUCGUAAUGUACGUAUUUUCAGCAAUGGGAACAACUUGAACAUGCUGCACCAUUUAAAUGUGUUUGAUGUGAUGAAUAGUUUGACAAC
rnacentral:lncRNA from 1 species